CGGAGAGCCGCAGACAUCGUUCCCGCGCCGUCUGGACGGGUUGAGCACUGGAAAGAGCUAUGCAGCUGGGCAGUAUGUAAAGCAAGUGAUCACAGGAGUGACAAUAGGAAUGAAGUAAGAAAUGCUGAAAGGCAUGAAAAUAGCACUAGAAGAAAUGGCUAAUUACUGUAGGUGCCGAGGAAGAAUUUAGUAAUGAAAAAUAUUUCUGGUGCAUACCUUUGUCUCAGUUGCUUCCUAUUCUUUAUAAGAACUACAAAGCUUUUUUUGGAAGGAAGAUCAGACUGAAAUAGGGAGACUUCAGAAGGGCUUCUUUAUGAUUAUCACCUCUAGUGUGUUCAAACUACAGCAACAUCUUUACUCAGUGGUCUGAUCACCAAUGAUCAUACUUCAGUCAUCUAAUGUUUUGCAUUAUUGUAUUGAUUUUGCACAGGCUCUAUUGAUUCUUAAGACCUGAACUAUGUAUGGUUUGAUUAUAUUAGGUAAAUUUCUGAGUCUCAUGCUAAUGGACAUCAGUUCAAAGGUACUUGCUUGUAAGUUUAUCACUAUCAUACCUUAUGUCACUAGGUGGUCAUACUUUUGUUGUAAUGGGUCCUGUGUAACAUGUCAUUAGUUCAUGGAGGAUAGCUCUACUUAGUGGUAUUAAUUAAGAUGGUCAAGGAUGUAACCCAAUGCUUCGACUGACUCUAAACCUCUGAGUAUCGGAAGCCAAGAGAGGAAGAAAGGGCUGGAUCUCUCCAAAAUCACUGUGUUUCUGUACAAUCUCCCUGAAGCUCUGGAACUGGCCACUGUCAGAGACAGGAUAGUGGCCUAGAUGGACUAUGGGUCUGUCCCAGUACAGCCAUUCUUGUGUCCCCACUUUGUAUAGAUCCCAGCCCCAUUCAUCUCAUUUUAAAAUGGUACCUAAAUAUUUGUUUAUUUUUUAAUUUGUGUAAUCACUGCUGGGCUUACUCAAACCUUUUCUCUUCUUCUUUUCCAUGUGGACUUUCGUAUUUGCUGAUUUUAAUUUAAAAUUAUGAGAUUGAUAUAUUAUUAUAAUUGUAAUGUGUUUUCACUGAACUACCAUACAGCACAUACAAGAGAAGAGUGACUUGUUCAGGGUCACCCAGGAAGUCAAUGGCAAAGCUAGAAAAAGAAGCCCAGAAUCUUAAAUCUUAGUACUGGACUACCAUAGGCAACAAUAGAUGCUGUGGUUAGUAAUUUUUUUAUAUGGCUAAGCAAGUAUUUAGAAUGGGGCAAACAUAUGCAGUUAGAUGAAACUCAUGGCCUCUUUCUGACUGAAAAUAUUUCUGAGAGGUACUAGGACAUUAAAAAUAGGUUAAUAAAUGAGCUAAGUCUUUAUGUAUGAGGAACUAAUACGCAUAACACAAAAGAUAAAGGAGUGAGUAAAAUUAUUCAUAAAUUGUGCCUUGGAAAAUGAGCAUGUCCUUAAGUACACAAAAUACUAGCUUGUGUUGGCUAUGUUCUGUAACUGCUGCACUAGAGUUUGCUGAUCUUUCAGCAGCAGACAGAGCUGUAAUAUGCUUAAUGCCAACAUUGGCCUCUUGUUACAACUUUUAAUUCUGAGCUGUUAAGUACAACCAUUCCUUUUUCUUAAACUAAAUAAAUAAAACAGGCAAUGACAAUAUGGAGAGGCCAGAAAUACAUCCUGUUCCAAAAGAAAUGAUAAUUCUAUUUUCAAAAUCUGUCCCUAGUAUGGAAAAAGUUCAGUUCUUUGAAGCAGGGACUGCAAAAUCUAAACAUUAUGAGUCAACACUUUUGAAUUUGGGCACCUAAAUCCAUAUUUGGGCAUCUAAAUGGUCUGCUUUUAGAGGUGCAAGGCUGCCCAGAAGGGAGGGGGGCAAGUGGGGCAAU